UUUUUCUCAAUUCAUUUUAUCUUUGACAGGGAAGGGUACCAAAUUAUUCCAUUUGAAGGAAUGGUACAAAUGACAGUAGACUGGUACAACUAACAGGGUAAAUAUGUAUCGGCCCCAUGGCCGUGGGGAAGCCAGUCUAGGCUUAGUUCUAAGUCAUCGCUGUCUCCUGGGAUGCACAUGUCACAGACACUUGGCCCAGCUGGGGCGGGGCGGGGACAGGGAAGGGGGACUAGGAGGACCACACCAACGGGGCAGGGAGGGGUACUUCCGUCUCGCGCACCCAAUUCUUGGCACCUGCCUAUUCCUUCAGGUCGUGAAUCUCAAAGAGGGCACUCAUAUGCUACAGCAUAAAAUUAUGUGCCUUCGUCCUGAGAUAGAGAAACUCUGUGGCUGACCUAAAGAGACUGAUUGGUCCCAUGGGUCUACAUCAUUUUCAAGUACAAGAAGAAGUGGGUAUGAAAAGUUUCAAGUUGUUUUAUUAGUCUUACUGGAAAUGUCACGACAACAUAUUUCAG
rnacentral:lncRNA from 1 species